GACAGGCAGGUUGGGACAGUGGGCAGUGCACACAGGGGCCCUGGCCCAGACUCUGCCUCUACCAAUCUGUGGCUCCAGGCCAGUCCCCGCUCUGACCCCACUGCUGGCCUCAAGACUCAUGGGAAAUUUUCUUAGAACCAUGGAGCAUGGAGACAAGAUAAUCCAGGGGCUGCAGAUAUACAGGUCUGCAGGGGCCAGACAGGGAACAGCAAGUGGAGCUGGUGAGGACACAGCCUUCCACCCUGGCGCCAACCCCACACCUAGGACUCCAGUCCAGCUGCCGAGUCCUCUGGCCGUUUGCAGAGAAGCCAGACAUGUGGUGUGGUGGUGACGGUGGAAUUGCUCAACUUUUCAAUCACCGUGCAAACCAAACAAGACACCUCUGCUGGCUCGUCCAUCAGUGACCCUGUGCAGAGCCUGCCUGUGUACUGCUGGCUCAAGCCUCUGACCUCUCAGAACAAGGGGACUGGGGCCCAGAGGGCCAUUCCUAAAGGCAGAGCAGGGACUGUUUAACUUCUCCCAAAGGGAGGCAUCCCUCACAGCUCUCCUGGGACCAUGGGCAUCCUGGGGAGGCGGGUGGUGUAGGGUUGGGACAGUGAGUGGCCGCCCUUGACCCAACCGUGACAUUCAAAAAUACCAGUUUUACAGCAAUGCUCUCCAACUGCCCCAGGGAUGGAAAAGGAUAGCUGUAGCAAUCAUUUGCCCUUAGCUUUGAAAUAAACUGUGUGGAUCAGAUUCCAAUUUAAUGCAAGGGUUUAUUGGGCCUACUAUGUGCAGAGUCCUGGGAGCACAGACAAGCCAGUAGACCUAAUCCCUGCCCUCCAGGAGCAGGGAUUCAAUCUCAUUCAAAUCAGCUCAACAGCUACAUGUUGAGCUACUGCUGUGGGUUUGGCACAGGUGGGGCAAGGGAGAAAGCGGAGUUCAGCCAAGCCUCUGGCCCCCGAGGCCUCGCAGCCUGCUGAGGAAGAGAGCUGUGUGCAAGGAUGGCUGCUGCCAGGCUGGCCACAGUAGCAGCUCUAAUAGAAAUUCAAAAGGCAUCCAAAUGUGAACGCUUCACGAAUUUGCACAUUUGCUUCGGCUGCUGUUUAAAUUACUUUCCCUUCCGCGGUGCACGUGCUGGUAGGCAGCAGGGAGGGGGCCCAGGUGCUCCCCGGGCUGGCCAUGGUGGGGAGGGGGCGACGCUGGAGAAUCAGUCUGAGGUGCCCUCGAGGCCUCAGUUGUUUCACCAAGUGGACUCUGGCGCGUCGGCCCUGAAGCCGCCUCCCUCCUCCGGGCAGCUUUCUCAUGAUCAUUCUUUUCUCUUCUUCCGUCUCUGUCCCUUCUGUGUGCCCCUCUUCCAACACCCCGGCCCGCUUCCCCGCCUCUGUCUGUCUUGUCCCCCCGCCUGGCUCGCGCUGAGAGCAGGCACCUCCGUCAGCCUCCUCGCCGUGGUGGUUAUUGUGUGUGGCCUGGCCCUGGUGGCAGUUUUUCUCUUUCUUUUUUGGAAGCUGUGCUGGAUGCCCUGGAGGGGCAAGGAGGCCUCCAGUCCCUCUUCUGCUAACCCCCUCCCGGAGCCCCUCCAGAGCCCCAGCUCCAGAGGCAACAUGGCGGACAAGCUGAAGGACCCCGGCGCCCUGGGAUUCCUGGAGACGGCCGUGAAGAUCAGCCACACGUCCCCGGACAUCCCGGCCGAGGUGCAGAUGUCGGUCAAGGAGCACAUCAUGCGUCACACGCGGCUGCAGCGACAAACCACAGAGCCGGCGUCGUCCACCAGGCACACGUCUUUCAAGCGCCACCUGCCCAGGCAGAUGCACGUGUCCAGCGUGGAUUACGGCAAUGAACUGCCACCUGCGGCGGAGCAGCCCACCAGCAUUGGCCGCAUCAAGCCUGAGCUCUACAAGCAGAAGUCAGUGGAUGGGGACGAGGCCAAGUCUGAAGCCGCCAAGAGCUGCGGGAAGAUCAACUUCAGCCUCCGCUAUGACUAUGAGAGCGAGACCUUGAUCGUGCGCAUCCUGAAGGCCUUCGACCUCCCUGCCAAGGACUUUUGCGGCAGCUCUGACCCUUAUGUCAAGAUCUACCUCCUGCCCGACCGCAAAUGCAAGCUGCAGACCCGGGUGCACCGCAAGACCCUGAACCCCACCUUCGAUGAGAACUUCCAUUUUCCUGUGCCCUACGAGGAGCUGGCCGACCGCAAGCUGCAUCUCAGUGUCUUCGAUUUCGACCGUUUCUCCCGCCAUGACAUGAUUGGGGAGGUCAUCCUGGACAACCUCUUUGAGGCCUCUGACCUGUCCCGGGAAACCUCCAUCUGGAAGGACAUCCAGUAUGCCACAAGUGAAAGCGUGGAUUUGGGAGAGAUCAUGUUCUCGCUCUGCUACCUGCCCACAGCAGGCAGGCUCACGCUCACCGUCAUCAAAUGCCGGAACCUCAAGGCCAUGGACAUCACAGGCUAUUCAGAUCCAUAUGUCAAAGUGUCCCUGCUCUGUGACGGGCGAAGACUGAAGAAGAAAAAAACCACCAUAAAGAAGAACACGCUCAAUCCGGUCUACAACGAGGCCAUCAUCUUUGACAUCCCCCCGGAGAACAUGGACCAAGUCAGCCUGCUCAUCUCGGUCAUGGAUUACGAUCGAGUGGGCCACAAUGAGAUCAUAGGAGUGUGUCGUGUGGGGAUCAACGCCGAAGGCCUGGGCAGGGACCACUGGAACGAGAUGCUGGCAUACCCACGGAAGCCCAUCGCACACUGGCACUCCUUGGUGGAGGUAAAGAAAUCCUUCAAAGAGGGAAACCCUCGGUUGUGAUUUCAUUCACGUGGAUGCUGCCAGCAGAGAGACUGCCACCCGGAGUUAGGAUGGCAGGGCCGAGCCGCCAGCUUCGACAGCGAGAGCUCGGGCCCAUGUCCGAAACCACCUCCGACACCAUGAGCUGCACGGCCGAGCGACACCAACGGGACUCAGCAGCGUUCAUUUUGCACUCGUUCAACCGUCUACACAGCGCUGAGCGGAGCGGCAGCCAGGGCGGUCUCCCCGAGUGAGUCCUCACCGCUCCAUGUAGGUCAAGGCCAAGACACCUGUCACGUGGUCAGAUCUGUCUUCGUUUUUUUCUGUCUCCCAAGGUGAUGUUUUUUGUGGUUUUCACUUUCUACGGAUCUGCUGUCAAGAAAUGAUGAACAAAAGAUGAAGCGUGGAGAGCCCAGAGGUCGGUUCUAGAAAACACAAUGUAAAAUAGUCGUCUCUGGGGGGAGGUGGUUUGAGUUUCUGACGUUUUGUGUCUCCACCAAGCUCCCCCACCCAGAAGGACCAUGGAAGCAGGGCUGCGCUUUCUGUGUGGGCAGGAACAACGUCAGCCAGCGGAAGACCGUAAAGACAUUAGUUAAGACUUUAAAGGUGAAUUGUGAUUUUUGGAAACUCUUUGCUGAUGUGACCUAUGUCAAGAUGAGGACUUCUGGUCCCAUAUGGAUGUGGGUGGGGGGCUCUGCGGUGUCUGGACUCUUCAGCUGGCUAUGGAGGGCUCCUCACUAGCCCCUUCCUCAUUAUCCUUCACUAAUUGAAAAUGUAGCUCCCUCAAGGGAGCGCAGUCACUGUCUUUAGGAACAAUUCUGCAGAAAGGAAACUUGCCAUAUGUUUUCUGGCGUGCCACAGCUAAUGACCACAUUUGUUUGAAAAUAGGGUCUUUGUUCUCAAAAAUAAUCUUCACUGUAAAGAAAGGAGGCACAUAUGUUGGAGAGUGAUUUCUGCAUUAUACAUAGCUUUAUAAUCCCACGAAGUACCAAGCAGCUGUUUAAAAAGCCUAAAUAGAUCAAAGCAAAACUGAGAUAAAAUGUGCUUUCCUGAAUGGGGAGUCUUGAAACCCCAGUGAUGGUUGGAGUCCAUCUUUCCACGCGAGUGUUUUGUUGAUGGAUGCUGAGUCAGCUUAAGCCUAUUACAGCCCCCUGGACACUGGGACAAUAUUCAUCUUAAACUUUAGUUCUAUAAAUUACUAAGUACUUCAGUGUUGUUUGUUUCAGUGGUAGUGAAGGUUUUUUGUUUUUUUUUUUCCCUUUAGAACUCUACCUUAGCCAAAUUCAGUUUAGGAAAAAAAAAUGUUCAACUUUUCUGUAUUGUAAUAUUAUACUUAUGUUGAAUUGAUAGUGACCUCCCCACCAACCCCCUAUAAUUAGGUUGAUUUGCUCAAUCUUAGUUUUUCUUGCCCUGGUAAAUGCGUGGAGUUUCCACUUCAACUUGAGAUGACACCUUGUCGAUUUCCAGAGUUGUGGGUAGGACUUGCAAGAGGUGAAUGUGCUGAAGAAGGCCUUCUUGCUGAUGGAAGGCCGAGAACGUAAAAGCUAUCCACACGCCGUGUGUCUUACUCUUUAUAUAUGUCAUCUGCUUUAGGGACAGCAACUCAAUAAGUCUCCCUCGUUUUCAGCUGAGUUACCAGGUUUUUCUGCUGAUGAAACUUUAGGGAGUUUUCUAGUUCUAAAAAUGACCAGACUGGGCAUAAGGUAUGUGGUUAUCGUUGCAAAAGAUGUUUUCGGCCUAGAAAAGGAAAUGUAGAUAAACCAAAUUCCACCCUGGACUGAACCAUAGGCCAGUCCAGGUACUAAGGUGUCAUUGGUAUAAAGAUUUUCUCGCCAGAUGUGUUGUGAGUGAUAACCCUUCCUAGUCAGGCAGACGCACAGCCUAACAGCUGGAUGUGCUCUUGAGAGGAAGACAAACACAAGGCCAUGGCAAGUCUCCUGGCAGGCCAUAAACCUCCUUCUGUUUCUUAACUCCAGACUGAGCCACUUGAGUUGGUCUCAAUCACUGAGCAGAUGCUGUGGGUCCUGUAACGAAUUUCCAGGGCCAGAAAGUGAGGGGUGAGGGGUCUUUCCAAAAGUGAGCUCAGUCUCCAUGGCCAGCGGUCACCUCACCUUCAAACCCGUAGUCGGAAGUGCAUCUCUAUGCUUCUGGAGCAGGGAGUUCGCUCCUCUUGCGCCAUAAACUAGCCGUUGUUCCCGCCGUUCCUCGGUUCCGAGCCGCUGUCCCAUGCAGGAGAGCCCCUGACGGUUUUGGAGAAUAUUUUCUGAGCAGAUUAUGGUCAGCCCCACACCACCCUAACCAACUGCUACUACGCCAACUCUAGUCCUCUGGGUACAUUUCUCCAGGCGCAGCAGCUUACCCAGGGUUCUGUCGGCUCCUGGACCCCCACCCCAGGCAUCCUCUGGGGAGAAAGUCCUCAACCUGAAGCAGGAAUGGAACAUGAAUGUCUGCCAACUUCAAUAUCUAGUCCGACAUCUCUCCUUCGCACGUGAGAACAAAAGGAAUUAGAAGUUCAGCAUAAAAUGAUAUCCAAGGUUGACUCAUUUUUAAUGUCUUCUGCUAGGGAGAAACCGCUUGGGUUGCUAUUGUGAGCUUUGGUGAAGUUGCAAAAACCAGGGCAUUUUGCACAUAGAUUUCUUUUUUUAAUGCAAAGUUCCCUUGUCCUUUAUUUAGCAGUGUUUCUGGGCUGAAAGAUUCCCUCUCCCCCACCCCUCACAUACUCAAGAUGUUAAUUAAUUGCAUCGUCAUUUAAAAAAUUAUGUUGUUAAUUACUGCUCUGUGUCUUCCCGCCCCUGUCACAGCCUGGAGUUUUUAUUCAAUUAAAUCUGUCU